ACAACUUCCUCCUUCCUCUGCAAAACCGGUGUUUUCUCUUUUGUUCCUGGCACUCACUUGACUGUGGUUUUGCUGCAGCUGGCCUGCUCUGGAUUACAAUUCUGUUAUUCUCUAGACUGCUGCUUGGAAGCACCGGGUAUUUUUCCACUAGAGAAGUGCUUAGUGGCUGUGGUGAUAAAAACUCCUCCUUGAAGAUGACUCAGCUGCUCUGGUCUUCUGCCAAAGUCUUGUUCAAGAGGGAGUUGAAGGAGGCUCCAGACGGGGAGGAUGGAACACCUACAGCAGGCAAGAAACGUACAGUGUAUGCAGUAAGCCAGAGGAGAAGACCCUCUUAGGCAUUCAGAAGAAGGAGAGAGAAAGAGAGACUCCCAGAUUCAGGAUAAGUUCUGGGUGCUGGAGUACAGCAGAGGCCAGUGCAGUCAAGACCAGUGUCCCCAUGAAAUUCACUUUCUAGUUGGAGACACAUCCAAAACAGAAGACGCCUGGGGUUUUGAAUACAUGAACAUGUGACCACACACCUAAGUGUGAUCCUUAGCAACCACCACAAAUCAAACAGGAGUGAUGCCGUGUUUGGACCAGAUCUGAUUUCAUAGAGAUCAUCAAUAAAAUCGGGUUCCAAGUCUUCCCAAACUGGAGCAGAUUAUAAUGAUACGUGGAGGGAGUUGCCCAGUGGUACCAGACAGCUCAAGAAGUUUCAGGGCUGAGUGGCAGUGAGGAUGAUGAGCAGUGGACAUGUUCUGGGACAUAAGAUGAGCACCGCCUGGUGACUGAUCAGAACUGAAAAAGUUCGUUGUUGACAAGCACUGGCCACGCAAUGGGCAUGAAGACAAGGGAGAGGAGGUAUGAAGAACUAAGGACAACUCUGCAUUCAAUUUGCCACAUGCAUUAACUUAUGUAAGUCAGUGCCUGCAUGGAGGGGAAAGGGUGUCCACACUCCAGUCCCCUAUUACGCAUAUCUGGGUCAUCUGUUGCAAAUUUCCGGAAGAUUGACUGUUGACCGUAAGAGUUACUUAUGUCCUUUCUAAGGAUUGAAAAAUUAAGUUUCCAGCUACUUGAAUGCAGCGUCCCUGUCUCACCUCCACCAUCAUCUCCGAGAACCCCACCCUGCAGAGAUCUCAUUUGGAAUAGUGUGAGUUGAGAGCAGUCUACCACUCAAAAGUUCGCUUUGAUAAUAAAGCUGUCCCCUUAUUUGCCAGUGAUGUCUUAAAGUUGCAAGUUCCAUUUCCACAGCCCAGCCAUAAACAAAUAUAUCGGUUUUAAAUGGAUUCUUCACACUCUGGCAGCUUGAUCACCACUUUCCAUACCCACAAUUGAUAGAAAAAGAUGAAAGAUAAGGGAACAAAGGGUGAAAAUGUAACAGCUAGAGAGAGCGCUCCAGGGUGGUUAAAAAGCUGCCUAGUGGCUACAGGAAGACACUAAGGCAGCAGCCCCGACACCAGGGUCAUGCCAGAGGGGACCCUCCAGGGCUGCCAAGCCCCUGAGGCUCUUACUCAUGCUUGAAGGUGAGCCUUUUGAAGAGCUACUUGCCCAACCCAGCCUGCAGAGGUGAGUCAGGUGGUCACCAUCUCCUUGAUGAGUUUCACUUCCUCAUCCAGAAAGCACUUCUCCCGGAAGCUACAGAACCCGAGGCAUGCAGCUCCCAAAGCGCCUGUUUCAGGUUCUCUAGGAUCAUGGCAACUUUCUUGGCCUCAAGGUUUUACCCCACUCAUCUUGAAACAGCUUCUGCAAGUCCUCGAAGAGGGCACUGGUUUCUUCAAAAGAUGCCAGGUGCCCUUAAGGUUCUCCUCAGCCAACUCUUGGAAUGAGUGUCCCAUGCCCUCCGGAGCCACAUCCUCGAGGUGAAAAGAGAAGCCCAGAGAAAGAGGAAUUCCAGUAUUUUAUACCUGAAAGGGAGCUGAGACAUCACCAUCUCCAGCAUCAGUGACUUUUAUAAGAAGAAACGGAGACCAGACACAAAAAGAAUAAUACAAGUAACUGACUCAUAACAUCAUUGUGAAUAUCAAAUAAAUUAAUGGCUAAGUGAAGAAAAUUCUAAGUAGAAUAUGCCUGGGACUCCAUUACUUCUCACUUCUAUAUCAGUCAGACUCCUAGGUUGCAAUAGAAAUAAUCCUGCUGACUUGAGUAAAAUAAAAUUUAUGAGGGGACCAGCAAUACUGCAAAAACAGGCUUCGAAAACAAGUCCACAACAAGCAACCUCUGGAGGGCCAGCCAUCAGGAACCAGAACAGUUCUUCCAGCAGGAACAGGUCCAUUCAUGGAUCCCCAGGCCACUACUGCUGCUGAGGUGAUGAUUUCCUCCAAAUGCCACCACACCACACCCUACAGCCCUUACUCAAAUGCCAAGCACUACAGGAGACUGCUCAAUUGCCUGCCCCUGAACUUUCCAGAAUGACAAGAAAGAGAAUUUGGACCCAUUUGCUUUCUGGUUCCCAAGAAUGCACACAGUGGCACAUUUCUAAGAGGAUAAAAAGUUUUGAUAGUCAUGGCACCUUGCCAUGGUUGGCUGCUGAACAAUAAAAAAAAAAAAGAUGAUAUCCAUUGUGUGAUCUAUCCCCCCAGUCAGCCAGCCAGCCACUCACCCACCCACUCAUCCACCUACCCAUUGAUCCAUCCAUCUCUCAAUCUAUUCAGUUAGCCAUCUAUCCACCCAUGCAAAGAUACAUACAUAUCUGACAAACACACAUCACCACAUUUCUCUCACGUUUUUUAUAUCCAAAUACCCGUAAAAAAUGAGUCUUUCAGAGGAAGCUUUUAUGGACCUAAUUCACCCCAAAGCUUAUGUCUCCCUGAGCAGUAGAUGAAAAAUAUUGCAGCCUGAAAAGAAUUGACUUGAAAGAAUUAGGGCCCCUGCCUAAAUGCCUUACAUAGUAUAAAAGAGUGACUCCAGCCCCAGGGUGAAUGGAGUCUUAUGUUUCAUAAGGCAAGAUAUUUAUUAUAAUGACAGGGCAAAAUGGCCGUGGUCAAAUCUUAAAUCCAGGAUGCAUCUAAAGCAAGAAUGUCACUUUCCAAUUCAAAUCCAAAAUGUACAUUAAAGGCAAAGAGUGUGUAUGAAUUCUGUUUAAAAGUCUCUUUACAGAAAUGGAUUAGGGUUGUCAUUGAUACCAAGCUUCUAUUCUACCUGAGAUCUAUUCAUGCUUUGAGCAGAGUUUAAGGCUUUCUUCUGGAGCUAAUAACCUCAUUUAAUCUGUAAUUUCUAUGUGAGAAUUGGCGCACCCAAAAUAAAAGAACAAAUUACUAGAUUAUUUUUUCAAUGAAAUUCUAAAUCAGCCUUUGGGAUUUCCAACUAUGAAAGCCCCCACAAAAUGCUCUGUAUUUUCAUGGAGUUAAUAGUCUUGGCAUUUUAAUGCAUGUUUUUGAGGAAUUAAAAUUCAGUCACCAAAACGUACUGUAAUGCAGUUAUAAUAAACACCUUCUUGUGUCUGCCUCCCACUCUUUAACAGUUGGGUACAAGGCACCAUGCUAAGAUAUUUACACAGAUCAGUUCAUUUAAUCUUCCCAAUAGCCUGUGAUGUAGGCUUUAUUGUUUCCAUUUUAUAUAUGGGGAAAUUGAGACAUGCAACAUCAAAGAGCUUUUCCAACUUCACAUAUAUAGAGAUGGUGAAAGUAGAAAUCAGAUUCCGGAGUCCAGUUCUAGAACCCAUGUUCAACCGCUAGCCUUGCACAUCCAUUUACCUGUAUCUCAUUCAGGUUGGCUCAUGCUUGGUAUAUGUGACCCUGCCAUCUUGGGUACUAUUAUUAUGGCUAGAUACCUUAUCCAAGAAGGACUAACAGAGGUAGUUCUGGAAACAUAGAAUUGAGAUUUUAGAUACCGCUGUUUAGUCUAUGUUAACUUCAAAACAAUGAAAGAAAUAUAGUCUGAGAAGUUUUGGAUGGACAUAUUCUCCAUAUGAUGUGGGACUGAGUAGCAGGAAAAGUUGGAUGGCAGAGGGAAGAAGAAUUAAAAGUGCGUGCCAAGAGAAGUUUUGCAUAUUUUUCAAACCAUUUUUGAAUUUGUUUAAAUAACGUUUGGUGAAACAGGGAUUUAAUGGCAACCUCAAUAGUAACAGCAAUGUUGGAGACAUACAUCCCCUCCCACUUCUUUAUAAAUACAAUUAUUUCAGUACUUAAGAAAACCUGUAGAAUCUGAAAAAUAAGACAAUACUACUGGAAUAUGUACCUGUUAUUGCUUCACUACUGUGCUUGUAAUUGACCUUUUUUCGCACUUUAUUUCACCGGUGUUAGCAGUCCCAAAGGCAUCUUAUUUGCAGGUUUUUCUGAAUAAAGCACUGGUACUUAACAUUGUUUAUUCUGAGGGUCCCCUCUUAAAACUAAACUGCCUUUUGCUUUAUUAUAGAACUUUGUAAAUAUCCUCCUAAUCUUUAUAAAUUAUGUUUAAAUAUUAUAAAGAUAUAUAUUGUUAUGUUAUUUAUAUAUUGUUAA